CCUACGGGGGGCUGCAGUGGGGAAUAUUGGACAAUGGGGGGAACCCUGAUCCAGCCAUGCCGCGUGUGUGAAGAAGGCCCUCGGGUUGUAAAGCACUUUCAGUGAGGAAGAACGCCUGGUGGUUAAUACCCAUCAGGAAAGACAUCACUCACAGAAGAAGCACCGGCUAACUCCGUGCCAGCAGCCGCGGUAAUACGGAGGGUGCGAGCGUUAAUCGGAAUUACUGGGCGUAAAGCGCGCGUAGGUGGCUUGAUAAGCCGGUUGUGAAAGCCCCGGGCUCAACCUGGGAACGGCAUCCGGAACUGUCAAGCUAGAGUGCAGGAGAGGAAGGUAGAAUUCCAGGUGUAGCGGUGAAAUGCGUAGAGAUCUGGAGGAAUACCAGUGGCGAAGGCGGCCUUCUGGACUGACACUGACCCUGAGGUGCGAACGCGUGGGUAGCAAUCAGGAUUAGAUACCCUAGUAGUC
rnacentral:rRNA from 1 species